UACGAAGGGGGCUAGCGUUGUUCGGAAUUACUGGGCGUAAAGCGCGCGCAGGCGGCUAUCCAAGUCAGUGGUGAAAGCCCGGAGCUCAACUCCGGAACUGCCAUUGAAACUGUUUAGCUUGAGGACGAGAGAGGUGAGUGGAAUUCCCAGUGUAGAGGUGAAAUUCGUAGAUAUCUGGAGGAACACCGGUGGCGAAGGCGGGUCUCUGGGCCGUAACUGACGCUGAGGAGCGAAAGCGUGGGGAGCGAACAGG
rnacentral:rRNA from 1 species